rnacentral:rRNA from 1 species
UACGAAGGGUGCAAGCGUUACUCGGAAUUACUGGGCGUAAAGCGUGCGUAGGUGGUGAGUUAAGUCUGUCGUGAAAGCCCCGGGCUCAACCUGGGAAUGGCGAUGGAUACUGGCUCGCUAGAGUGCGGUAGAGGAGAGUGGAAUUCCCGGUGUAGCAGAGAAAUGCGUAGAGAUCGGGAGGAACAUCAGUUGCGAAGGCGGCUCUCUGGACCAGCACUGACACUGAGGCACGAAAGCGUGGGGAGCAAACAGG